rnacentral:lncRNA from 1 species
UUAUUAUUAUUAUUAUUAUUAUUAUUAUUAUUAUUAUUUUUAAGAGAUAGAUAGCACGCUAUCCGCUUCAUUUAUUUCAUUUUAGCUGGAAAUAUGAAUCAACUAGGAUUCGAACUUGGAACCACGGAUACCAACCACCUACUCCUUUACCACUUGUUUUAGGAACGGUCGGUCCGAAUACAUUAUUUAUGAGAAAUAUUUUGUUUCAGGACUAGGAUUAUAUAAUUUUAGGAUUAAUUCCAUGCAUGUCCCUACAAAUAUAUUGAAUAGCAAAUAUAUAGCUACAAAGUUUAAUUUUUAUAUGUUGUUUCUAUAAAAGUCCUAAUAUUUUCAAAUAUAUUCAUAUUAUUAGAAUUCGUUAGAAAAAUUUAGUUAACUAUAGAUUAAAUAUUUAAUCUUGAUUAGUUUUUGACAUUUUUGCUCAUCUUAUAUUAUACUGUUAUGAUUUUUUGAAUGGAUAUAUUUGUGAUGAUAAAAUUGAAAAUAUAAACAGUUCUCUAACAAUAACAAAUUAGAGGGACAUAUUUGAUGAUAUUAGAACUUUGCAGAGACAAUAUAUGAAAGUUGAACUUUAUAUGNUACAAAUAUAUUGAAUAGCAAAUAUAUAGCUACAAAGUUUAAUUUUUAUAUGUUGUUUCUAUAAAAGUCCUAAUAUUUUCAAAUAUAUUCAUAUUUGAUGAUAUUAGAACUUUGCAGAGACAAUAUAUGAAAGUUGAACUUUAUAUGAAUAUAUUUAUCAUUUAUUAUAUUUGUAGAUACUUUGUAU